GCUCAGAUUGAACGCUGGCGGCAGGCCUAACACAUGCAAGUCGAGCGGUAGCACAGAGAGCUUGCUCUCGGGUGACGAGCGGCGGACGGGUGAGUAAUGUCUGGGAAACUGCCUGAUGGAGGGGGAUAACUACUGGAAACGGUAGCUAAUACCGCAUAAUGUCGCAAGACCAAAGUGGGGGACCUUCGGGCCUCAUGCCAUCAGAUGUGCCCAGAUGGGAUUAGCUAGUAGGUGGGGUAACGGCUCACCUAGGCGACGAUCCCUAGCUGGUCUGAGAGGAUGACCAGCCACACUGGAACUGAGACACGGUCCAGACUCCUACGGGAGGCAGCAGUGGGGAAUAUUGCACAAUGGGCGCAAGCCUGAUGCAGCCAUGCCGCGUGUGUGAAGAAGGCCUUCGGGUUGUAAAGCACUUUCAGCGGGGAGGAAGGCGGUGAGGUUAAUAACCUCACCGAUUGACGUUACCCGCAGAAGAAGCACCGGCUAACUCCGUGCCAGCAGCCGCGGUAAUACGGAGGGUGCAAGCGUUAAUCGGAAUUACUGGGCGUAAAGCGCACGCAGGCGGUCUGUCAAGUCGGAUGUGAAAUCCCCGGGCUCAACCUGGGAACUGCAUUCGAAACUGGCAGGCUAGAGUCUUGUAGAGGGGGGUAGAAUUCCAGGUGUAGCGGUGAAAUGCGUAGAGAUCUGGAGGAAUACCGGUGGCGAAGGCGGCCCCCUGGACAAAGACUGACGCUCAGGUGCGAAAGCGUGGGGAGCAAACAGGAUUAGAUCCCCUGGUAGUCCACGCCGUAAACGAUGUCGAUUUGGAGGUUGUGCCCUUGAGGCGUGCUUUCCGGAGCUAACGCGUUAAAUCGACCGCCUGGGGAGUACGGCCGCAAGGUUAAAACUCAAAUGAAUUGACGGGGGCCCGCACAAGCGGUGGAGCAUGUGGUUUAAUUCGAUGCAACGCGAAGAACCUUACCUGGUCUUGACAUCCACAGAACUUUCCAGAGAUGGAUUGGUGCCUUCGGGAACUGUGAGACAGGUGCUGCAUGGCUGUCGUCAGCUCGUGUUGUGAAAUGUUGGGUUAAGUCCCGCAACGAGCGCAACCCUUAUCCUUUGUUGCCAGCGGUCCGGCCGGGAACUCAAAGGAGACUGCCAGUGAUAAACUGGAGGAAGGUGGGGAUGACGUCAAGUCAUCAUGGCCCUUACGACCAGGGCUACACACGUGCUACAAUGGCAUAUACAAAGAGAAGCGACCUCGCGAGAGCAAGCGGACCUCAUAAAGUAUGUCGUAGUCCGGAUUGGAGUCUGCAACUCGACUCCAUGAAGUCGGAAUCGCUAGUAAUCGUAGAUCAGAAUGCUACGGUGAAUACGUUCCCGGGCCUUGUACACACCGCCCGUCACACCAUGGGAGUGGGUUGCAAAAGAAGUAGGUAGCUUAACCUUCGGGAGGGCGCUUACCACUUUGUGAUUCAUGACUGGGGUGAAGUCGUAACAAGGU
rnacentral:rRNA from 1 species